rnacentral:rRNA from 1 species
UUUUCGCAAUGCCCGAAAGGGUGACGAAGCGACGCCGCGUGGGUGAGGAAGGCCUUCGGGUUGUAAAACCCUGUCAGGAGUUAAGAAAUGUAAGUGCGCUAAUACCGCAUUUAUUUGACGAAGGCUCCAAAGGAAGCCACGGCUAACUCUGUGCCAGCAGCCGCGGUAAUACAGAGGUGGCAAGCGUUGUUCGGAAUUAUUGGGCGUAAAGAGCACGUAGGUGGGUUUGUAAGUCAGAUGUGGAAGCCUUCUGUUCAACGGAAGAAUUGCAUCUGAAACUGCGAAUCUUGAGUGUAGGAGGGGAGAAUGGAACUUCUGGUGGAGCGGUGAAAUGCGUAGAUAUCAGAAGGAACGCCGGCGGCGAAAGCGAUUCUCUGGCCUAUUACUGACACUCAGUGUGCGAAAGCUAGGGGAGCAAACGGGAUUAGAUACCCCGGUAGUCCUAGCCGUAAACGAUGGGCACUAAGUAGAGGGGUUUUAAUC